rnacentral:sRNA from 1 species
UCUUAUGAGUGAUUUUGUCCUUUUCUUUUUAGGACUGGUCUUUGAUGUGUCCAAAUGAGUGUCCUGGUCUGGAUGAGGUUUGGGGAGAGGAAUUUGAGAAACUAUAUGCAAGUUAUGAGAAACAAGGUCGUGUCCGCAAAGUUGUAAAAGCUCAGCAGCUUUGGUAUGCCAUCAUUGAGUCUCAGACGGAAACAGGCACCCCGUAUAUGCUCUACAAAGAUUCCUGUAAUCGAAAGAGCAACCAGCAGAACCUGGGAACCAUCAAAUGCAGCAACCUGUGCACAGAAAUAGUGGAGUACACCAGCAAAGAUGAGGUUGCUGUUUGUAAUUUGGCUUCCCUGGCCCUGAAUAUGUAUGUCACAUCAGAACACACAUACGACUUUAAGAAGUUGGCUGAAGUCACUAAAGUCGUUGUCCGAAACUUGAAUAAAAUUAUUGAUAUAAACUA